rfam:Myotis brandtii contig260954, whole genome shotgun sequence.
GGUGGUUCUCAGGUGAUGAACCCUAUAAUCGGGCUCCCUCCUCUCUGGUUCCAGGAUGCAUCACCGGAGAACAGCU